UUCUCCUAUUUACACGGUAGGCACCAGGUCUGCAGCGCGGGAAGCACUGCCGGUGUCUAAUUUAGCCAGAAGUGUCUGGGUGAGUCUGACCUGGUUUUUCUCUCUUUGGGCCUCAUCCAAAUGCAAAGAUGGAUCCGAGUUUUCACUGUGAAUAAAAAUAAGCAGAACGUUAUAUUUAGCCAUCUAUAAACAGGAAUAAAACAAAGCGGGAGGCGCUCGUUAUAUCAGCUGUGCUCUGCGAGCACCGUCACGUUCCCUGCCGGGACGACGUGGUCAGGGAAGAGCCAGCCUGGCGCGGGCAGCGGCGAGGCGGCAGGAAUGUGCCAUUCCCGGCGAAGCCUUGCRGUUGCCCAGGUCGGUCUGACCCUGCAGCCCCGGAGCCUCCCCUUGCAGCGGGAGCCGCCGCCGCUGUCGCCUUCCCACGAGGACUGAGCUCGCUGGCACGUCGGAAAACGCUAUUUCUGCGAGCACGGGGCUGCCCGCACCGAGCUGCCCGCACCGAGCUGCCCGUGGCAGGACGCUGCAGGUCCGGCACCAAAGCCCAGCGGUCAGGAAGCCCUUCGCGGCCCCCCAACAGCAGCUCUCCCCCGUCAGGCGGCUGAGGCAGAAAAGCUCGUGCCGGGCUGGAGCAGUAGCGUCUUCUGCUUCACGGCGCUCGCGGACGAACUUCCUCCGGCUCAAGGGAUUUCUGCUCGGCUCCCGCUGGUCCCAGAGUGCUCAUUUCUCCAUGGGAAGUUUGGGUGCCGCUUUGGCUUAACUUUGCUAUGUCCGCCCAGAAACAAAGCCAAAUAUCUGCACGCUGAGCCUUCAGGCCUCUUGGGCUAUGUGUUACUCCCUCCAGCCCCUGUCAUCUCACACGCAAGCAUACAGCUGAGCCAGUGUGCUUCAGCACAGUUUAGCCUUGUUUGGGGAUCUGGUUUGGGAUGGGAAGUGACUGGGCAGGGAAUAGAGUGAAAACCUCAAAUAUCUGGUAUGCAGAGAACUCCUCCAAAAUACUCCGGUGAAAACUUCAUCACCAAACUCUGCUUCCAACGGUGAGCUCAUCUUUCCUGUGGGAACCUGCGAGAAUCGGUUCCCCAGCUCACCCUGCAGCCUGACUCUGCUAGCCGCCCCGCUGAGAUAUUUAAUGAGAUUUCUGCUUGCCCGUUAAAAUCAACAACUCAAGCCGGGCAACUGGAAGGACAGAAUUCAGAUGAAAUAACCUGAAUAGCUGAUAAUCAUGCAGUCACCUGAAGCCUAGUUGCGUGCAUUGAAAAGCAUUUUCAAAAAUACAUACGUUAUUUAUUAAGAGAGCAUAUCUGAAUAAUUUAAAUAUCGAGAAGAACCGUUUUCUUUGCAUAAAUGAAUUUCCACCUUAUCCGAAUCAGCAAGUCCCUUCAGCUGUGUGUUCCCGACAAUAGAUGGUGCUAACGGCGUUUCCCAGCUGCAGCCUGCGCGGCAGCCUCUGCGGGCCACAGCCGCUGCCGGAGGCCAGCGUGCAGCCCCGGGAUGCUGCUGCAGCUUUCCGGAGAGCCCGCUUCGGGGUGAGCGAGCUCCCGGUGGCCUGUGCUGGGGCUUUGCUGCCCAAGCAAACCCUUCUGAGCGCGUGACCAAGCACGCCUUCCUCCAUUCAUUCAGCCCUGAGUUUACUGCCUUUCUAAUGAGUGUUUCUAUACCAGAAACCUCUUUUUGUACAUUCAAGUCUAUUUUGCAGCCAUCCUCCCCCUGGAAAAGCUGCCUGCUCAAAUGAGCAGCGAGCGGUUGCAUGGUGGCUUCCUGCUGGUGUUUCAAGACAUCAAGAACGUAGUCAGCUUUUGAUGGCAAUAUUGGCAGAAGGUGCUCCUGCAUUUUCUGUCUGCUCGGUCCAGCCACAUCUGUUUCCCCAUCUAUUUGUGGGACUGUACUGUGCACAGGAUCAGAGAUUUGACCCAGCCUAAAAUAAAAAGGAAAAUAAACAGGUAUGGUUUUUGUUU
ensembl:lncRNA